CAGCACGGGUGCUUGCACCUGGUGGCGAGUGGCGAACCCGUGAGUAAUACAUCGGAACAUGUCCUGUAGUGGGGGAUAGCCCGGCGAAAGCCGGAUUAAUACCGCAUACGAUCUACGGAUGAAAGCGGGGGACCUUCGGGCCUCGCGCUAUAGGGUUGGCCGAUGGCUAAUUAGCUAGUUGGUGGGGUAAAGGCCUACCAAGGCGACGAUCAGUAGCUGGUCUGAGAGGACGACCAGCCACACUGGGACUGAGACACGGCCCAGACUCCUACGGGAGGCAGCAGUGGGGAAUUUUGGACAAUGGGCGAAAGCCUGAUCCAGCAAUGCCGCGUGUGUGAAGAAGGCCUUCGGGUUGUAAAGCACUUUUGUCCGGAAAGAAAUCCUUGGCUCUAAUACAGUCGGGGGAUGACGGUACCGGAAGAAUAAGCACCGGCUAACUACGUGCCAGCAGCCGCGGUAAUACGUAGGGUGCGAGCGUUAAUCGGAAUUACUGGGCGUAAAGGGUGCGCAGGCGGUUUGCUAAGACCGAUGUGAAAUCCCCGGGCUCAACCUGGGAACUGCAUUGGUGACUGGCAGGCUAGAGUAUGGCAGAGGGGGGUAGAAUUCCACGUGUAGCAGUGAAAUGUGAAAGAUGUGGAGGAAUACCGAUGGCGAAGGCAGCCCCCUGGGCCAAUACUGA
rnacentral:rRNA from 1 species